rnacentral:tRNA from 1 species
AGCCUCGGGGUGUAACACAUCAGAUUGCAAACCUGAAGAGGCAGGCUAAUCCCUGCCGAGGCUU